AUUGAACGCUGGCGGCAGGCCUAACACAUGCAAGUCGAGCGGAUGAAGGGAGCUUGCUCCUGGAUUCAGCGGCGGACGGGUGAGUAAUGCCUAGGAAUCUGCCUGGUAGUGGGGGAUAACGUCCGGAAACGGGCGCUAAUACCGCAUACGACCUGAGGGAGAAAGUGGGGGAUCUUCGGACCUCACGCUAUCAGAUGAGCCUAGGUCGGAUUAGCUAGUUGGUGGGGUAAAGGCCUACCAAGGCGACGAUCCGUAGCUGGUCUGAGAGGAUGAUCAGUCACACUGGAACUGAGACACGGUCCAGACUCCUACGGGAGGCAGCAGUGGGGAAUAUUGGACAAUGGGCGAAAGCCUGAUCCAGCCAUGCCGCGUGUGUGAAGAAGGUCUUCGGAUUGUAAAGCACUUUAAGUUGGGAGGAAGGGCAGUAAGUUAAUACCUUGCUGUUUUGACGUUACCAACAGAAUAAGCACCGGCUAACUUCGUG
rnacentral:rRNA from 1 species